rnacentral:rRNA from 1 species
UGAGCAAUCUGCCCUUCUCAUCGGAAUAAGCGUUGGAAACGACGUCUAAUGCCGAAUACGACCUCCUUUCGCAUGAUCGGAGGUGGAAAGCUCCGGCGGAGAAGGAUGAGCUCGCGGCCUAUCAGCUAGUUGGUGUGGGUAAUGGCCCACCAAGGCGACGACGGGUAGCUGGUCUGAGAGGACGACCAGCCACACUGGAACUGAGACACGGCCCAGACUNUACGGGAG